UACGGAGGGUGCGAGCGUUGUCCGGAAUCAUUGGGCGUAAAGGGCGCGUAGGUGGCCCGGUCAGUUCGUGGUGAAAGCGCGGGGCUCAACCCUGCGUCGGCCAUGAAUACUGCCGCGGCUGGAGCACUGUAGAGGCAGGCGGAAUUCCGGGUGUAGCGGUGGAAUGCGUAGAGAUCCGGAAGAACACCGGUGGCGAAGGCGGCCUGCUGGGCAGUGGCUGACGCUGAGGCGCGACAGCGUGGGGAGCAAACAGG
rnacentral:rRNA from 1 species